rnacentral:rRNA from 1 species
UGACGAAGCGACGCCGCGUGCGGGAAGAAGGCCUUCGGGUUGUAAACCGCUGUCGGGAGUUAAGAAAUGCAAGGAUGUUAAUAGCGUUCUUGCUUGACUAAGGCUCCGGAGGAAGCCACGGCUAACUCUGUGCCAGCAGCCGCGGUAAUACAGAGGCGGCAAGCGUUGUUCGGAAUUAUUGGGCGUAAAGAGCACGUAGGCGGCUAUGUAAGUCGGUUGUGAAAGCCUUCCGCUCAACGGAAGAACAGCAUCCGAUACUGCAUGGCUUGAGUGCGGGAGGGGAGAGUGGAACUUCUGGUGGAGCGGUGAAAUGCGUAGAUAUCAGAAGGAACGCCGGCGGCGAAAGCGACUCUCUGGCCCGCAACUGACGCUGAGUGUGCGAAAGCUAGGGGGGCAAACGGGAUUAGAUACCCCGGUAGUCCUAGCCGUAAACGAU